rnacentral:lncRNA from 1 species
UCGCUAAAGGUGCUAUAUGCGACAAAACCGUCGCUGAAAGUGUUCUUGAGGAAACCCAGAAAUGCUGUCAGUGAGCAAGGCGCCACGUUUGACCAUCAUUUGAUCCAUAAUCCUAAGGUUUUCUGGCCAGACUAAAGUGUUUAGAUUGUAGUAUAAAUGUAAUACUACCAUCAUCAAUCAAGUUCAUGGCCAACACAUAUCAUAUCUGAGAGAUCUAAGCUCUCAAAAUCGUUGUCAGACAUGUUCUUCGAUUUCUGGGUUUUCCAGAAUUGAAGAACAAUCUUUGGUGCCUAUUUUUGAUCCUUAUAACUUGCACUACAUGUCUGCUUUGUAUGAUUUAAAGAUUCACACUUGUAGAAUACAUGUCCAAGUACAAUAACAUAUCAUCAGAUCAUCAUAACAUCAACACAUGUGCAAGAUCUGGCAUGGUCAAACCAUGUCAGAAAAUUUGUUCUUGAACGUUUCUGGGUUUUCUAGAAACUUAAAGUCAUGAGAAAACUGCCUACUUUGACCAUCCACUACAUUAAUCCUGUUUAUUAUUUAAAGGAUCUAAGGCCAUGGAUCUAUAGUGUGGCGACCCAAAUCCGGAUACUUGAAACCCGAACUCGGUUCUCCACGAUACCAUUUCUUUAAGCUGAAUAAUACUAAAUAAUAAUAUAAUUCGAACUUAAUUUACAUACAUCAAAGUUUACUUUCCCAGGUACGUGACCUUCAAAUACAUUCCUUACAAUAUCUGACAAUAGAUUCCAUUGUCUUACUAACUAUAACCAUUAACUCAUACUAAAUCUCAUUCGAACAGCUUUUCUUUUCCCUUGUUCGUGCCUGAGCCUUCAGGUCGAUCGUACGUAACUGAAAACAUUUAGUUUAAGCAAGGAUGAGCAUUUGAGUGCCCAGCAAGUAAUAGCAAUUAUAUAUAUAAGCUGAAAGAAUAUAAGUAUUCUCUUUACAUAACACUUCUACAACGAAUCGAAAGUUGUGAAGUAAUCUGUACUGAUAAAA